AUGAACGCUGGCGGCGUGCCUAAUACCUGCAAGUCGAGCGAACGGACGAGAAGCUUGCUUCUCUGAUGUUAGCGGCGGACGGGUGAGUAACACGUGGAUAACCUACCUAUAAGACUGGGAUAACUUCGGGAAACCGGAGCUAAUACCGGAUAAUAUUUUGAACCGCAUGGUUCAAAAGUGAAAGACGGUCUUGCUGUCACUUAUAGAUGGAUCCGCGCUGCAUUAGCUAGUUGGUAAGGUAACGGCUUACCAAGGCAACGAUGCAUAGCCGACCUGAGAGGGUGAUCGGCCACACUGGAACUGAGACACGGUCCAGACUCCUACGGGAGGCAGCAGUAGGGAAUCUUCCGCAAUGGGCGAAAGCCUGACGGAGCAACGCCGCGUGAGUGAUGAAGGUCUUCGGAUCGUAAAACUCUGUUAUUAGGGAAGAACAUAUGUGUAAGUAACUGUGCACAUCUUGACGGUACCUAAUCAGAAAGCCACGGCGAACUACGU
rnacentral:rRNA from 1 species